UGGUAUGAAAGUUAAAGUGAGUCAUGAA
rnacentral:piRNA from 1 species